UCCUUAUCAUAAUAACAUUCCUAUUUCUUACGUGCUUGCAACUUGCCAUGGCGUUUUAUACUUUAGUCGCUUUACAGAAGAUAGUGGGAUAGUGAAAUAUCUUAAAUAAUAGCGGGUUUUAUUCAAACAUCAUUUCAAAGAUAAAGAUGACUAAGGUGACUAGGAAGAGUCCUUUCAGUUUAUGGUGGGCAAUAAAAGUGAGGAUUCCUUGUUGUAGGAUGAUUUUCAGAGUCAAUACAUAAUAUGUGACCAAAGUCUUCCUCCCUGACCACCAUUUUGCAAGGAAAGCAUUGAUGUGGAUGCUGCAUAAAGAACAUGUUCAUGAUCUUCCUGUAGACACCAGAAAAAUGAAUUGAUUACUUCAUCAUACAACCAGCCAGCAGAGAUACAGAAUGUGGUCCAUUCCUUAAUAGUUUUGCGGUGAUUGAUGAAGAUUCUGUAAUGAGAGGUGUGAAACCUGUGUGAGGAGUUGGCAUGAAAGGAAUUGUUUGUGUAUCUUUGCUGGAUGAUUGCGUUUCCAUUUUCUCUA